UACGAAGGGGGCUAGCGUUGCUCGGAAUCACUGGGCGUAAAGCGCACGUAGGCGGAUUGCUAAGUCAGGGGUGAAAUCCUGGAGCUCAACUCCAGAACUGCCUUUGAUACUGGCGAUCUUGAGUCCGGGAGAGGUGAGUGGAACUGCGAGUGUAGAGGUGAAAUUCGUAGAUAUUCGCAAGAACACCAGUGGCGAAGGCGGCUCACUGGCCCGGUAUUGACGCUGAGGUGCGAAAGCGUGGGGAGCAAACAGG
rnacentral:rRNA from 1 species